rnacentral:rRNA from 1 species
UACGUAGGUGGCAAGCGUUGUCCGGAUUUACUGGGCGUAAAGAGCGCGCAGGCGGUCGUUCAAGUCGCGUGUGAAAGCCCCCGGCUCAACUGGGGAGGGUCACGCGAUACUGAUCGACUCGAAGGCAGGAGAGGGUAGUGGAAUUCCCGGUGUAGUGGUGAAAUGCGUAGAGUAUCGGGAGGAACACCAGUGGCGAAGGCGGGUCUCUGGACAGUUCCUGACGCUGAGGCACGAAGGCCAGGGGAGCAAACGGG